rnacentral:rRNA from 1 species
UACGAAGGGGGCUAGCGUUGUUCGGAAUUACUGGGCGUAAAGCGCACGUAGGCGGAUCGAUCAGUCAGGGGUGAGAUCCCAGAGCUCAACUCUGGAACUGCCUUUGAUACUGUCGAUCUAGAGUAUGGAAGAGGUGAGUGGAAUUCCGAGUGUAGAGGUGAAAUUCGUAGAUAUUCGGAGGAACACCAGUGGCGAAGGCGGCUCACUGGUCCAUUACUGACGCUGAGGUGCGAAAGCGUGGGGAGCAAACAGG